GACGAACGCUGGCGGCGUGCCUAAUACAUGCAAGUAGAACGCUGAAGGAGGAGCUUGCUUCUCUGGAUGAGUUGCGAACGGGUGAGUAACGCGUAGGUAACCUGCCUGGUAGCGGGGGAUAACUAUUGGAAACGAUAGCUAAUACCGCAUAACAGUAGAUAUUGCAUGAUAUCUGCUUGAAAGGUGCAAAUGCAUCACUACCAGAUGGACCUGCGUUGUAUUAGCUAGUUGGUGAGGUAACGGCUCACCAAGGCAACGAUACAUAGCCGACCUGAGAGGGUGAUCGGCCACACUGGGACUGAGACACGGCCCAGACUCCUACGGGAGGCAGCAGUAGGGAAUCUUCGGCAAUGGACGGAAGUCUGACCGAGCAACGCCGCGUGAGUGAAGAAGGUUUUCGGAUCGUAAAGCUCUGUUGUAAGAGAAGAACGAGUGUGAGAGUGGAAAGUUCACACUGUGACG
rnacentral:rRNA from 1 species